rnacentral:lncRNA from 1 species
GUGGCAUUUGACAAAGCGUUACGAAAGUGUAGUUCUAAAUCGAAAUCGAAAGGUCUCACAUAUAGUUUCAUAAAUUUGAGUGAGAUUACAUGAUGACUAGAGUUUACAUGAUGAAUGACAAAUACAAUCUAGGUAGUUACUAUUCUUCCUUGUCCAUCAGCGCGCACCCAAGGCAAAGAACUUUGUGAGAUGCUUCGCUCAACAUUUCUUAUCUUAGCAGGAUAGUCAUCCACAAAGAGGGACAUGUCGCUGAACUGGUUAAAAUCCUCCAGAUCCGCUACACCAUCAACUCCUAUUGCUUGUUGCUUUCCUGGAAAAACUACAUGCUUCAGCUUGUCAGUAGUUUUCUUCUCAUUCUUAGAAAGGAUCUGUUCAGCAUAGAACACCUGUGCAGCACGGUUACCAAGGAUCCACGGGUCAUCUUUGUAUCCCACUUUACUUAGAUCAAGAACUCUGACCCCAUAAUUAUCCACUGUGACAUGUUUAUCUUCUACCCAUUGACAUCGAAACACGGGGAUCUGAAAUGUACCAUAGUCUAGUUCCCAUAUGUCCUCGAUGAAGCCAAAGUAUGUAAUAAUAUCACC